UUUCUAAAUUUAUUUUUUUAAUACACCCAUUAAAAUAAAUAAAAGUUCUAUUGUUUAAAAAAAAACGAUAACAAAAUUUAUUUUUUAAGUAUGUUUAGAUUAAAAUCACUUAAAAUCUAAAAUAUUUAGAUCAAUGUUUUUGAUCUAAAUAUUUAGUGAAUAAACAAGAGCUUGCAAAGUAUAAUUUAGCUUCCAAUUUUAAUAAAGAAUUGGCAAAAUUAACUUGCCUCAACAUCGAAUAUUUUUACGAAAAAUAAAUGUUGGUACAAUGGCUCCGUUUGACAUUAAUUUUUUUUAAUUUUUUUUCCUUUUUUGCUUAUUAAAAAAGCCAAUCAAAGUUGACUUUUUUAUUUUUUUGUUUAAUUUUAGCUAAAAUAAAGCUACAAAAAUAAAAAAAAUAGAAAAUAUUGAUAUUUUUGAUAGCAAAUUUAAAAAAAACUUGACUUUUAAGUAUUACCAAACAGAGCCAAUAUAAUAACAACAAUGAUAGGUAAGGGUGUGUACAAGACACAACCUCUCAUAGAUACAGUGAGGCCCGUCCUAAUUAAGUUUUUAAAAAAUUCUAAUUAGGGCGGAUCCCAUUGUGUUUGUCAAUUUGUGAGAGGGUGUGUCUGAAUGUAUAUAUUUUUUAGUAUGUACCUAUUAUUUUUGAUAUAAUAACGAGAACCUCACUUGAUAAAAUUCAUGAAAUAGCUAGAGUUUGGAAUCGUCAUGGUGAAUUUUAAAACUUAUUUUGAAACAGACGGGAAAUAUAAAAUUGGUACAGGGGGGGAAGAUAUAGAGUGACAUUCCCAAGGAGAUUCUUUAAGUGUACGAAUCAACAACGGGUCCAUGCAUAUUGAAAACAUGGGGGUGGGUGGGAAUGAAUUUGGCACCGACGGGCAAAUACGCAAUACGUGAGGUGAGAAGACCAUUUUUACCAGUUGCUUUCUAAUCUUGUACGUCUUUAUCAAGUGCCGACACCAUUUCUAUAUUUCCCAUAUGCUUUCUAAUUUCGUACGUCUUGAUCAAGUGCCGACACCAUUUGUGUAUUGCAUUGCAUGCCUACCUCUUUGAGGAGUAAAUCUUCAAUGGGAAAGUAAUGGUUACAUCACAAUAAGGAAUCUAAUGGAAUAUAUAAUUAUUGUUACAAUGUUUGGUUAGAAUUUACCCCCAAAAAGCUAGGUAUUGAGGAGGUGCCCUUACAUUUAUAUUGUCAUUUACUUUUACUUCAACUCCCAAGCGAGUGAACUUUGCUUCACACCCUCCCUCACGCCCACGCCAGCUCACUUCGGCAGCACCUGGCCACGUGCAGGCCGGGACACCGCCCCCUACCCAUCCGCUGAAGUCCCCGCUCUGUACUAUGUUCAUGUUGGGUAAAACUUACCACAAAAUCUAACUUUGAGGAAGGGUGGCCUACACUUAUAUAUUGCAAUUAUUUCACUCUCAAGCGAUGUGGGAUUUCGCUUCACAUUAUUACGUUUGAAACGUCAACAACUGCUAUGUCAAUACAGUGAGAUUUAUUAUGUAAUUUAUAAUUAGAGUGUGAUAUCCUAUAAAUAUAACAGUUUAUAAUUAAAUUGUAAUAUCACGUGAUAAUAAUGAUAUAAUAUAACCGUUGCAAUGAUUUUUUUAUAUUUAAUGUCUAUUUUGUCAUUUAUUUAUUUAUUUUAGUUAUCCCUUUUAUAUAGAUAAUUUGUAGUAUAGAUUUGUUUAUUUUAGCUUCCAAUUAUUAUUAUUUUCUAUUCUUUAUUGUUUUCCUUGAUCAAAUUUUUAAUAUUUUUUUAAAAAAUGGACGAAAUUUGAAAAGGUUCCACUAAAAAAACACCAUUUUCAACUAAAGUUGGCCUUUUAGUUUCCAAUAGACUUGUUAAAAAUUUUAUUUUUUUAGUUAAAUAUGUUUCGAAUAGGAACACAUAAAAUGAUAAUAGAUUGAUAAUGAUUUUAAAAAGUACCAAAGACGAAAAGAUUUCAAAAAAAAAAGUUAUUUGUUAUAGAAAAAUCAAAUGCUCAAAUAUACCCAGUUGUCAUUUGGUAUUCAAGAAAAAAUAUGAAAGUAAUCUAAUAGCUGGGUGUAGCCACAUUAAACCGGAGUUGUCUUAAAAAAUGAUGGAUUACCAAUGUGAUUUUGAAGCUUGACCAUCAUGUUUGUUAAAGUAAAAAACUAGUAAAAUCGCGUGACAAGUGACAACAUAAUUAUCAAAUUAUUAUAAUUUUUUUCAAAGAUGAUCCACGGACAGAAAAUUUUAAAAUAAACAACGCGUGGAAUGAGAUCCGCCCUGGACUUUUAGCGAAGAUUAAGGCUUCGUUUGGUAAUGUUUAAAAGUCAAAGUUUUUUUUAAGGUUGCUAUAAAAAAUGUCAAGAUUUUUUAUUUUUUUUUUGGCUUUACUUUAGCUAAAAUUAAGUAAAAAAGUAAAAACAGAAAAGUAAAAAAAGUCAACUCUAAUUGGCUUUUUAAGCAAAAAAGUCAAAAAAAAAUUAAAAAAACUAGUGUCAAACGGAGCAUAAGCCUCUGAUUUA
rnacentral:lncRNA from 1 species